rnacentral:rRNA from 1 species
CAGCAGCCGCCACGGUAAUACAGAGGGUGCGAGCGUUAAUCGGAUUUACUGGGCGUAAAGCGUGCGUAGGCGGCUUUUUAAGUCGGAUGUGAAAUCCCUGAGCUUAACUUAGGAAUUGCAUUCGAUACUGGGAAGCUAGAGUAUGGGAGAGGAUGGUAGAAUUCCAGGUGUAGCGGUGAAAUGCGUAGAGAUCUGGAGGAAUACCGAUGGCGAAGGCAGCCAUCUGGCCUAAUACUGACGCUGAGGUACGAAAGCAUGGGGAGCAAACAGGAUUAGAUACCCCCGUAGUCCCUGUCUCUUAUAC